AGAGGAAAAACGCGGCGUCUAAGCGUUGGACUUACGGUAGUUGACAUCUACCGAAUGCCGUGACCUAAAUGACCUCAUCGGGUUCAGACCCAACGUGGAAAUGUUACAAAAGUGCUCGUUACGAAAGCUCGCUGGUAAAAAAAAAAAAAAAAAAAACGUGCUGCGGCGUCUCACGCUGACGCGGUGGGAGAGACUUUUACGACCUGAAGUUACAUCAACUUCUCACAGUUAGUAGAUUUCUUUUCUGCAAACAUUCAGGUCCGGCAGUUUGUACAGAUACAAACAUAAAACUCGACGAGGGCGUAAAGGAAGUUAAUUGAUAUUAAGACAAUCCCAGGUCCCUAAGCACGCUGUCGCUUCCCCUCGGGCCCAUUAUCAGAUCCCCUCUGCAGGCAGCUGCAGUUAUUGUGGAAGACUUUUAUGGCGCCGUGAUGUUUGUGGCAACACCAGCUUUUAUGAACACAUACACACCUAUACCUGCUCAGCAACAUGGAUCAGCAGCAGCUGACUUGGCUAGAACGUCUGUGUCACCGGCAGACGCAGGCAGGGUCCAGCGAGUGUCUACUGAGGCUGCCGACACAUCUGCCUGCUUGAUUUCACCUGGUAACUGAGCAUGUAGUAUUUACUUCUCGGGUGAAAUGCAAUCAGCCGCUUGUAGCUGGCAAGGAAGCAACGAGCCUGCCAUGAGGCGCAGCUUUUUCCCCCCCCAUCUACUACAUAAUUAUUGAAACCAUCUUUACUUUCAUACCUUCUAUUUUUUUAAGUUUUCUGAAAUUCUGCUAUUAUCAUUUUAUUCAAGAAUAAUAAUAGAAUAAUAGUUGCAGCACCUAAACACGUAACAGAGCUCCAUGGUGUACUUACAAUUAUUCUAAUCCAAUUUCCUCAACAUUGAAUAUAAUGAUACAAUGUUAUAAUACAAUUGCAGUUCAAGGUAUGCAAACAAAAACGGCUUAAUGCAGGAUGAUUGAACGUAGAAUGAAAUGCAUGUUCAUUAGCUGUGUCAUUGCUGACGAAACAGAACCUUGUGAAUUCCUGGCGAUAAACGUAGCAGUGAGACCGCUGAGGUUCCUACGGUAGAGUGCUCCCCUGUGCGCGUAUAAACAUUAACAUCCUCGAGACAAGAGUCACCUCUCUAAUCUGCCUGAAGAAGUGUGUGGUGAGAGGCCUUUUAUCCCGCCUCGCUUUAGCCGGUUGCUCACAGAAGAGCCGUUUACCUCCACUAAUGGAGAGUGAGUCUUUCACCGGGGCCUGUUUGCCUCUCAGCCCUCUGAAAGACACUUGGCCAGAGAGGAGACAUUAGGAAAACUAGUUAAUCUGGAGUAUUCUGUCUGUGUCUACCCAGGGAGUGGACCCAGCUCCUUGGUGCCUCCUCAAGAGGCUUCUCCUCACUGCAGGUAUAGAAGUGUUGGAUCAGCACUUUAGGCGCUCUGGUGAAGACAAAGUGGUGAAACAAAU